GAGUGAACGCUGGCGGUAGGCCUAACACAUGCAAGUCGAACGGCAGCACAGUAAGAGCUUGCUCUUACGGGUGGCGAGUGGCGGACGGGUGAGGAAUACAUCGGAAUCUACUUUUUCGUGGGGGAUAACGUAGGGAAACUUACGCUAAUACCGCAUACGACCUACGGGUGAAAGCAGGGGAUCUUCGGACCUUGCGCGAUUGAAUGAGCCGAUGUCGGAUUAGCUAGUUGGCGGGGUAAAGGCCCACCAAGGCGACGAUCCGUAGCUGGUCUGAGAGGAUGAUCAGCCACACUGGAACUGAGACACGGUCCAGACUCCUACGGGAGGCAGCAGUGGGGAAUAUUGGACAAUGGGCGCAAGCCUGAUCCAGCCAUACCGCGUGGGUGAAGGAGGCCUUCGGGUUGUAAAGCCCUUUUGUUGGGAAAGAAAAGCAGCAGGUUAAUACCCCGCUGUUCUGACGGUACCCAAAGAAUAAGCACCGGCUAACUUCGUG
rnacentral:rRNA from 1 species